rnacentral:pre_miRNA from 1 species
CUCGUCAAAGAGGCUUUGAUUCGUUAAGUAACUUCGUAUCACAGCCAGUUUUGAUGAGUG